rnacentral:lncRNA from 10 species
UCAGCCCCUCCAGCACCAUCCUGCAUUCUGCUUCCAAGAUACAUGAGCUUUCUGAAGAGCUGGUGAGAAUGCUGAAACUUCCUGGCCUUGGUUUCCCAUCUGGUAAAAUGAGGAAGACCAAAGCUUAACUCUCACAAGGAAUAUGCAGAUGAGGAAACCGAAGCUCUUGGGGUAACACGACUUGUGAAACUGCAUGCUACUCCUCAGUGGCAGGGUGGGGACUCUGGACAGAGGAACUGGCAAGGUCUUCUAGACCUUUGACGUGCAUAAACUGGCAGGUUUACAGAAUAACGAGGAAAACAAAGUGAAACAAAAGACUGUACCCGUGUGCUAAGAAUUUAUUACCCGCACAUCAAAAAACUUAUCCAUCACGAUCAAGCUGGCUUCAUCCCUGGGAUGCAAAGCUGGCUCAGCAUAUGCAAAUCAAUAAACAUAAUCCGUCACAUAAACAGAACCAAAGACAAAAACCACAUGGUUAUCUCAGUAGAUGCAGAAAAGGCCUUUGAUAAAAUUCAACAUCCCUUCAUGUUAAAAACU